rnacentral:misc_RNA from 1 species
UAAAACUUUUUAUAAGUUGAUUAAAUUAUAUUUUAUGUCACAUAAUCAAGAGGGAGUUGAUAAAAUAAAUUAUAAAAAAUUAUAAAAAUAAUUAUUAUACUUAAUAAAAAUAAGAGUUAAAUAAAAAAAAUAAUUAAUAUACCUUAAUUUUUUUAAAGAGAUAAAUAAUUUUAAAUAAAAUAAUUUUUAACAAGUGAGUAGAAGGUUUUGAAGUUAGAAACUAGUCCACCAACACCACCAAGUGAAACGCGCCGUUUAAGAUAUUUCCAUAUGAGGAGUUGAAAAACGACUUCUUCAUUGUGCCUCUGUCUCUUCACCGCCACCACUCAAGCACCAGUUUUUAUUGCCCUUAAAAAAAUGAAAAAGAAAUAUUAAACAAAUAUUUUAAAUUUUAAAAAAAAAAAAUAGUAUCCACUUCUCAUUCUGAGCCAGAGAGAGGAGAAACAGAGGGAGACAUGGAGACUGCGAUUCGUGGGGGAAUAGCUCUCUCACCUAAUCAAGUCUUUAGCCCUAAAUCAGGAGACAAACAUUCUCUUUGUAGAGGACCAUGGAUCAACCGAGGGAUUCUCAGGGCUUUAUCAGCUGCAAGAUCAGGUAAAGGAGGUGGGUUAUUGGAGAGGCCAACUAUAGAGAAAACCACUCCUGGCCGUGAAUCUGAGUUUGAUUUGAGGAAAUCAAGGAAAACAGCUCCACCUUAUCGUGUGAUACUGCACAAUGACAACUAUAAUAAAAGAGAAUAUGUUGUCCAAGUACUGAUGAAGGUUAUCCCUGGAAUGACUCUUGAUAAUGCAGUUAACAUAAUGCAAGAAGCACAUUACAAUGGCUUGUCAGUGGUGAUUAUUUGUGCUCAGGCUGAUGCUGAAGAGCAUUGCAUGCAGCUGAGGGGUAAUGGACUUCUGAGUUCAAUAGAGCCUGCGAGUGGUGGGUGUUGAAGAUGGACCUGCGAGUGGUGGGUGUUGAAGAUGGACCUAAUAUGAAAGUCUUUUCAUAGUUCGUGGUAAAAUUAUCUUCAUCAGAGUAUUGGAUAGUGUAUAUAAGUUAGCAUUGUCGGUGUUUGUAUGAAUCUUUGGUCAUCCAUGAGCAAAUGCAAACGAGGGGAUGUUGAUCAUUUUGAAUAAAAGAAACUUUAAGUCACAGCUAUUUAGGUAAAUUGCAAGGUGAUAUUUUAUUAGGUCUCUCUCUACAAGACACAAUUAUCCGCUGUAUUCCUCUCCUGCUGCUUUUUAUAAUGAUUUCCUCAAUUUUUCUUUUCAAA